CGGGAGUCAGGGCGGAAAGCCAGCAGCACAGCCAAGGUGCCUGCCAGCCCCCUGCCCGGUCUGGAGAGGAAGAAGACCACCCCAACCCCCUCCACGAACAGCGUCCUCUCCACCAGCACAAAUCGAAGCAGGAAUUCCCCACUUUUGGAGCGGGCCAGCCUCGGCCAGGCCUCCAUCCAGAAUGGCAAAGACAGGUGAGAGACCCGGGCCCUGCCUGCCUCGCUCCCUAGGAGCCAUGUCUCACAGGGUGAUGUCUGUCAGCAGCACCGUCUCCUGUCCCUGCCAGCGCAUUGCUCCCUGCUCCCUGGAGUUCCAUCCUGGCUGUGUCCAGUCCAGCUUUCCCCUCCCCUAUUCCACGCCAUUGCCUCCUCCCCAUCUUCCUCUGACUGCUACUUGCAGUUUGCCAAGUGUGGGGCUGACCGUGGCCAUCUCAGCUACA
rnacentral:sRNA from 1 species